CCUACGGGAGGCAGCAGUGAGGAAUAUUGGUCAAUGGACGAGAGUCUGAACCAGCCAAGUAGCGUGAAGGAUGACGGCCCUAUGGGUUGUAAACUUCUUUUAUAUGGGAAUAAAGUGUUCCACGUGUGGGCUUUUGUAUGUACCCUAUGAAUAAGGAUCGGCUAACUCCGUGCCAGCAGCCGCGGUAAUACGGAGGAUCCGAGCGUUAUCCGGAUUUAUUGGGUUUAAAGGGAGCGUAGGUGGAUUGUUAAGUCAGUUGUGAAAGUUUGCGGCUCAACCGUAAAAUUGCAGUUGAAACUGGCAGUCUUGAGUACAGUAGAGGUGGGCGGAAUGCGUGGUGUAGCGGUGAAAUGCUUAGAUAUCACGAAGAACUCCGAUUGCGAAGGCAGCUCACUGGACUGCAACUGACGCUGAGGCUCGAAAGUGUGGGUAUCAAACAGGAUUAGAUACCCUAGUAGUC
rnacentral:rRNA from 1 species